UACGGGGGGAGCAAGCGUUGUUCGGAUUUACUGGGCGUAAAGGGCGCGUAGGCGGCCAGUGCAAGUCAGUUGUGAAAUCUCCGAGCUUAACUCGGAAAGGUCAACUGAUACUGCUCGGCUAGAGUGCGGAAGGGGCAACUGGAAUUCUUGGUGUAGCGGUGAAAUGCGUAGAUAUCGAGAGGAACACCUGCGGCGAAGGCGGGUUGCUGGGCUGACACUGACGCUGAGGCGCGAAAGCCAGGGGAGCGAACGGG
rnacentral:rRNA from 1 species